rnacentral:pre_miRNA from 1 species
AGAACAUGGGCAAGGAUCAUUGAUGAAGCCUCGCAGGUCUGCAGGAGGGCAUGGAAUUUCAUACCCACAUAUUAACAUAAACUUAAAUGAGAACUGGACUCCUUCCAAGAGUGAUGGACUGGACUGGAGGGUUGGUGGGAGAGCAGAACAAAGCCAAAUGAAUGAAUGAUGUGGAGCAUGAAUCUCUAUGCCUGCUUGUAGAUCUGUUAGGUUUUUUAUGCCUUGCUUCUUCU